rnacentral:rRNA from 1 species
AUGGCUCAGGAUGAACGCUAGCGGCAGGCUUAACACAUGCAAGUCGAGGGGCAGCGGGGAGGAAGCUUGCUUUCUCCGCCGGCGACCGGCGCACGGGUGAGUAACACGUAUGCAACCUGCCCCUGUCAGGGGGACAACCCGCCGAAAGGCGGGCUAAACCCGCGUACAUGCCACCGGGGCAUCCCGGAGGCAGGAAAGGCUUCGGCCGGACAGGGAUGGGCAUGCGGCGCAUUAGGCAGUAGGCGGGGUAACGGCCCACCUAACCGACGAUGCGUAGGGGUUCUGAGAGGAAGGUCCCCCACACUGGUACUGAGACACGGACCAGACUCCUACGGGAGGCAGCAGAGAGGAAUAUUGGUCAAUGGUCGGGAGACUGAACCAGCCAAGCCGCGUGAGGGAGGAAGGUACAGAGUAUCGUAAACCUCUUUUGUCAGGGAACAAAGACUGGGACGCGUCCCCGGAUGAGUGUACCUGAAGAAAAAGCAUCGGCUAACUCCGUGCCAGCAGCCGCGGUAAUACGGAGGAUGCGAGCGUUAUCCGGAUUUAUUGGGUUUAAAGGGUGCGCAGGCGGUCUGUUAAGUCAGCGGUCAAAGCCCGGGGCUCAACCCCGGCCCGCCGUUGAAACUGGCAGUCUCGAGUUGGAGAGAAGUAUGCGGAAUGCGCGGUGUAGCGGUGAAAUGCAUAGAUAUCGCGCAGAACUCCGAUUGCGAAGGCAGCAUGCCGGCUCCACACUGACGCUGAGGCACGAAAGCGUGGGUAUCGAACAGGAUUAGAUACCCUGGUAGUCCACGCAGUAAACGAUGAAUGCUGGCUGUCCGGGGGGACUGACCCCUGGGUGGCGAAGCGAAAGCGAUAAGCAUUCCACCUGGGGAGUACGCCGGCAACGGUGAAACUCAAAGGAAUUGACGGGGGCCCGCACAAGCGGAGGAACAUGUGGUUUAAUUCGAUGAUACGCGAGGAACCUUACCCGGGCUCAAACGGGGAGUGACUCAGGCAGAGACGCCUGUUUCCCACGGGACACUCCCCGAGGUGCUGCAUGGUUGUCGUCAGCUCGUGCCGUGAGGUGUCGGCUUAAGUGCCAUAACGAGCGCAACCCCCGCGUGCAGUUGCUAACAGAUAACGCUGAGGACUCUGCACGGACUGCCGGCGCAAGCCGCGAGGAAGGCGGGGAUGACGUCAAAUCAGCACGGCCCUUACGUCCGGGGCGACACACGUGUUACAAUGGGUGGUACAGCGGGAAGCCAGGCGGCGACGCCGAGCGGAACCCGAAAUCCACUCUCAGUUCGGAUCGGAGUCUGCAACCCGACUCCGUGAAGCUGGAUUCGCUAGUAAUCGCGCAUCAGCCAUGGCGCGGUGAAUAUGUUCCCGGGCCUUGUACACACCGCCCGUCAAGCCAUGGGAGCCGAGGGCGCUUGAAGUGCGUCGCCGCGAGGCGCGCCCUAGAGCGAAAUCGGUGACUGGGGCUAAGUCGUAACAAGA